UUGGAGGGCAAGUCUGGUGCCAGCAGCCGCGGUAAUUCCAGCUCCAAUAGCGUAUAUUAAAGUUGUUGCAGUUAAAAAGCUCGUAGUUGAAUUUCAGGGUUUGUCUAUCGGUCGGGCUUCACUGUCCGCACUGAUUUGAUGGAUCCUUACCUUCUGAAUAGCCAUCAUGCCAUUAAUUUGGUGCGUUGGGGAAGCAGAGCUAUUACCUUGAAAAAAUUAGAGUGCUUAAAGCAGGCCAGUGCUUGAAUAGAUUAGCAUGGAAUAAUAAAAUAGGACGGCAUGGUUCUAUUUUGUUGGUUUCUAGGAUCACCGUAAUGAUUAAUAGGGAUAGUUGGGGGCAUUAGUAUUCAAUUGUCAGAGGUGAAAUUCUUGGAUUUAUUGAAGACUAACUACUGCGAAAGCAUUUGCCAAGGAUGUUCUCAUUAAUCAAGAACGAAAGUUAGGGGAUCGAAGACGAUCAGAUACCGUCGUAGUCUUAACCACAAACUAUGCCGACUAGGGAUCGGGCGAAGUUAAUUUUUAAAUGACUCGUUCGGCGCCUUACGGGAAAC
rnacentral:rRNA from 1 species